AACUCCUGUCAAUGGGCAGAGACAACGUAGUGGUGAUGUUCGUACAUCAGGCAGGGGCAGAGCACAUGGCAGUCCUUUGUUCAUCCUAGCUUGAUGCCUGGCUUGCUGGCCAAACCUGUUUCAUGCCUAGGUCCCAUAA
rfam:Cricetulus griseus cell line CHO-K1, whole genome shotgun sequence.